AUCAAGUUUGAAACACCGGUUACCAUACGAUCACCGAAGUUAAGCAACAUCGAGCCUCAUCAGUACCUAGAUGGGUGACCGUUUGGGAAUAACAGGAGUUA